rnacentral:rRNA from 1 species
GACGAGUCCGGCAAACGUUAUUCGGAAUUACUGGGCUUAAAGCGUGCGUAGGUGGUUCGAAGGGUUGGGAGUGAAAUCCCACGGCCUAACCGUGGAAUUGCUCUCAAAACCGUCGGACUUGAGGAGGUUAGAGGCGAGCGGAACUACGGGUGGAGCGGUGAAAUGCGUUGAUAUCCGUAGGAACACCGGUGGCGAAGGCGGCUCGCUGGGGCCUUUCUGACACUGAGGCACGAAAGCUAGGGCAGCGAACGGG